CUGUCAUCCUGGCACAAGUGAAGGGACCAUCAUUACUCACCACAGCCUUGAACUCCUGGACUCAGGUGUAACUUGAUUAUAUAAUCUCAUCUGAGAAGAAAUCCCAGUGAAGUUGGAGGAAAAAGAAAAAAAUGGCAGUUUCUCAGUUCUAGAUACUUGGAAGACUGAGGCA